UACGGAGGGUGCAAGCGUUAUCCGGAUUCACUGGGUUUAAAGGGUGCGUAGGUGGGCAGUUAAGUCAGUGGUGAAAUCUCCGGGCUCAACCCGGAAACUGCCAUUGAUACUAUCUGUCUUGAAUAUCGUGGAGGUAAGCGGAAUAUGUCAUGUAGCGGUGAAAUGCUUAGAUAUGACAUAGAGCACCAAUUGCGAAGGCAGCUUACUACCCGAAUAUUGACACUGAGGCACGAAAGCGUGGGGAUCAAACAGG
rnacentral:rRNA from 1 species